AUCCCGCACGAUCACCGAAGUUAAGAAACGUAGAGCCUGGUCGGUACUUAGAUGGGUAACCGCUUGGGAAUACCAGGUGCUGUAA